rnacentral:rRNA from 1 species
UACGUAGGUGGCAAGCGUUGUCCGGAAUUAUUGGGCGUAAAGCGCGCGCAGGCGGUCCUUUAAGUCUGAUGUGAAAGCCCACGGCUCAACCGUGGAGGGUCAUUGGAAACUGGGGGACUUGAGUGCAGGAGAGAAGAGUGGAAUUCCACGUGUAGCGGUGAAAUGCGUAGAGAUGUGGAGGAACACCAGUGGCGAAGGCGGCACUCUGGGACGGUACUGACGCUGAGACGCGAAAGCGUGGGGAGCGAACAGG